UUUAAAUAUCAAUGCAGCACUUAGAAAUUAUUCAUCAUUUGUAAUCUUUUUCUCAAGGCGCAUUUGAAUUCCGCCUACUGGAAACAUGAGAAAAUUUUAUUUAUUUUGCGUUUUCAUCUUCAAUUUCUUGGCAAUAAGACAUGCUGCAGAACCAGUAAAAUCUGACUGCUUAUUGAAGGAAAAAGCUCUUGUUUUACUUGAAACAGCUGAAACCUUUCUUUCUAAAGCAAAAGACUCUUAUCCUUCUUGCAAAAAGGAACUAAAUUCUACAGACCCGGUAGGAUGCGGAAGUGAAAAGUCCUUGGCUUAUGUUGAAAUUUCCAAGAAGUUGAUUUCCGAUGUUAGAGAAAUCUUUCCAACAUGUUCCAAGAAUAUUGUUGUGCAAUAUUGUAAGCCCAAAGACUGCUCUGAAAUUCUAGCAAGCGGACGUAAAGAGAAUGGGGUAUACACAAUUUGGCCGCGUAUACCCCAUUCAACAACUCAAAAACCAUUGAAAGUCUAUUGUGAUAUGAAGACAGAUAAUGGAGGUUGGACGGUUAUUCAAAGAAGAGGAAAAUUCCCAGUUCAAGAAGAUUUCUAUAGGGAUUGGGAAGCUACAAGGAUGGUUUCGGAAAUAUCACACAAGAGUUUUGGUUAGGUAAUGAGAACAUACGUAUAUUGUGCUAUGAAAAAUGUGAAAUACGUUUCGAUCUGCAAGACAAAAAUGGAGAGAAAAGCUUCGCAACUUAUAAGAGUUUUUACUUGUCUAGCUAUGAGUACCUCAUUCUGAUCCAAAAUUACACAGGAAAUGCGGGUGACGCAAUGAAUUAUCAUAAUGCUGAUAAUUUCUCUACGAAAGACAAGGGUGAAAUGGAAUAUGCAAAGAAAUAUCAGGGAGGAUGGUGGUAUGGAGUUCUCCACCGUUGUAAUCUAAAUGGAGUUUAUCAACCUGGCGAAAGUAACGAGAAAACCGUUCACUGGUCGAAUUGGCGACAAAAUGAAAAUUUGGCCAGCGUGGAAAUAAAAGUCAGGCCAAAAUAAAUCCAAUACCAAAUACGUGAAAAAUUAAAAUGCUUUUGUGAUUCUGACGACUCUUAUUGUUGUUUUAAAACAUUGCUAUAAAAUAAUCCAAAUGUGUUUAUUUGUCUUGAUUUGUGUUAUAACGUAGCUGUAAAGUAAUACAAAUGUGUUUAUUUGUCUUCAAAUUGAAUUGUAAUCAAGAAUUGUGAUUUUUUUUUGAAAAAUAAAAAUAGUAACUAGCUUG